AUUAACAUGAGAUAUUGGUGCGGUUCAAUAAAAAAUCAGCUUUUUCCUCUUAAAGUUAUGUGAUUUGAUUGAGCCGUGCCAAUAUCACAUAUCAAAUA
rnacentral:pre_miRNA from 1 species